rnacentral:piRNA from 1 species
UGACUUAGAAAACAGAGUUCUCAGGACAGUC